rnacentral:lncRNA from 1 species
CCUUAUUUAUCAUCUUGUUUCUUUUACAUAUUUAUAAAAUAUUUUCUAAAACAGGCAAACACCUUCUUGCCCCUUUUACAUCUUUUCAGUAGCUAUGUGGCUCCCAACAGUGUUGGCAGUGUUUCUGGGUGCAGCCCCUGACCUCUUCUUCAGCCAGCAGUCCUUGGAUGAGUCCUUCAGUGACACAAGAGCAUUUGAACCAUCUCACUGCUCACGGGGAUUCCUGGUUGACAAAGACUCUGGUGGGAACGACAUUC